GACGUAGGGGCCAGCGUUGCUCGGAAUUACUGGGCGUAAAGGGUUCGUAGGCGGUGUGGCAAGUCGGGAGUGAAAUCUCCAGGCUCAACUUGGAGGCUGCUUCCGAAACUGCCGCGCUAGAGUGCGAGAGAGGCCAGUGGAAUUGCAGGUGUAGCGGUGAAAUGCGUAGAUAUCUGCAGGAACACCCGUGGCGAAGGCGGCUGGCUGGAUCGCAACUGACGCUGAGGAACGAAAGCUAGGGAGCAAACAGG
rnacentral:rRNA from 1 species